GUGCAGCAGUCGCGAAUCUUCCACAAUGGGGGAAACCCUGAUGGAGCGACGCCGCGUGCGGGAUGAAGGCCCUAUGGGUUGUAAACCGCUGUUCAGUGGAAAGAACAUCCUCCGGCUGAAUAGGUCGGAGGCCUGACGUUACCACUGCAGAAAGUCCCGGCCAACUCCGUGCCAGCAGCCGCGGGUAAUACGGGGGGGACGAGCGUUGUCCGGAAUCAUUGGGCGUAAAGGGCGCGUAGGCGGCGAGGAAAGUCGAA
rnacentral:rRNA from 1 species